rnacentral:rRNA from 1 species
GUGUCAGCAGCCGCGGUAAUACGAAGGGGGCUAGCGUUGCUCGGAAUGACUGGGCGUAAAGGGCGCGUAGGCGGACGGCACAGUCAGGCGUGAAAUUCCUGGGCUCAACCUGGGGACUGCGUCUGAGACGUGUUGUCUUGAGUAUGGAAGAGGGUUGUGGAAUUUCCAGUGUAGAGGUGAAAUUCGUAGAUAUUGGAAAGAACACCGGUGGCGAAGGCGGCAACCUGGUCCAUUACUGACGCUGAGGCGCGAAAGCGUGGGGAGCAAACAGGAUUAGAUACCCUGGUAGUCCACGCUGUAAACGAUGUGUGCUGGAUGUUGGGGUGCUUAGCACUUCAGUGUCGUAGCUAACGCGGUAAGCACACCGCCUGGGGAGUACGGCCGCAAGGUUGAA